CCUGCGGGUGGCAGCAGUGGGGAAUAUUGGACAAUGGGCGAAAGCCUGAUCCAGCCAUGCCGCGUGUGUGAAGAAGGCCUUCGGGUUGUAAAGCACUUUCAGUGGGGAAGAAAGCCUUGGGGCUAAUACCCUCGAGGAAGGACAUCACCCACAGAAGAAGCACCGGCUAACUCCGUGCCAGCAGCCGCGGUAAUACGGAGGGUGCGAGCGUUAAUCGGAAUUACUGGGCGUAAAGCGCGCGUAGGCGGUCUGAUAAGCCGGUUGUGAAAGCCCCGGGCUCAACCUGGGAACGGCAUCCGGAACUGUCAGGCUAGAGUGCAGGAGAGGAAGGUAGAAUUCCCGGUGUAGCGGUGAAAUGCGUAGAGAUCGGGAGGAAUACCAGUGGCGAAGGCGGUCUUCUGGACUGACACUGACGCUGAGGUGCGAAAGCGUGGGUAGCAAACAGGAUUAGAUACCCCAGUAGUC
rnacentral:rRNA from 1 species